UGACUCUUUGCUGCUGCCCUUUAGGAGCUCC
rnacentral:piRNA from 1 species